GACGAACGCUGGCGGCGUGCCUAAUACAUGCAAGUCGAGCGCAGGAAAUCGACGGAACCCUUCGGGGGGAAGUCGAUGGAAUGAGCGGCGGACGGGUGAGUAACACGUAAAGAACCUGCCCUCAGGUCUGGGAUAACCACGAGAAAUCGGGGCUAAUACCGGAUGGGUCAUCGGACCGCAUGGUCCGAGGAUGAAAGGCGCUUCGGCGUCGCCUGGGGAUGGCUUUGCGGUGCAUUAGCUAGUUGGUGGGGUAAUGGCCCACCAAGGCGACGAUGCAUAGCCGACAUGAGAGGGUGAUCGGCCACACUGGGACUGAGACACGGCCCAGACCCCUACGGGAGGCAGCAGUAGGGAAUCUUCCACAAUGGACGAAAGUCUGAUGGAGCAACGCCGCGUGAACGAUGAAGGCCUUCGGGUCGUAAAGUUCUGUUGUAAGGGAAGAACAAGUGCCGCAGGCAAUGGCGGCACCUUGACGGUACCUUGCGAGAAAGCCACGGCUAACUACGUGCCAGCCGCCGCAGUAA
rnacentral:rRNA from 1 species